UACGUAGGGUGCAAGCGUUGUCCGGAAUUAUUGGGCGUAAAGAGCUCGUAGGCGGUUUGUCGCGUCUGCUGUGAAAACUCGGGGCUUAACUCCGGGCCUGCAGUGGGUACGGGCAGACUAGAGUGCGGUAGGGGAGACUGGAAUUCCUGGUGUAGCGGUGAAAUGCGCAGAUAUCAGGAGGAAGACCAGUGGCGAAGGCGGGUCUCUGGACAGUUCCUGACACUGAGACACGAAGGCCAGGGGAGCAAACGGG
rnacentral:rRNA from 1 species